CACAGGCAUAUUACAAAAACAUCACAUGGUAUAGGUUUCUAAUUAAUCCCCUAAUUAGCCCACUCUCUCCACCCCCACACACCGCCCUCGUGUUUGGAGUGGAGAUCAUUAAAGCUUGGUGGAAAAGGGACAGACCCUUGACAACACAGAGGCUUGAAAGGAGGGCUCAUAUACAAGGGAUACAACACCAAGCAUAAACAGGAGUUUACGUAAACACAUACUUGAACUGGUACAGUUUGGUUUCAUGCAGAUCCUGGCACCAACGCCCAUCUAAAAGACCAGACCGUACUCAGAGGUGUGGGAGACCUGGAUACGUCUACUUUGUUUCUGGGAAGACAAGGUCAUGUACUGUACUUGCUGUGUAGGCUCAGGACCAUAUAAUUACAGCCAAGGUGUGCACAGUUAACAUCUGCUCAAACACAAGUGGCAGGGAGCAGAGAAGGUGGAAAUAAAAAGACAAGGAUGAGAGCUACAAAUACAGGACAAGCUCACGACGCAAAGACAGAGAUGGGGAGAGGGGGGCAGGAGACAGUUACUGGGAACUGGAGUAUGAACAAGGAGCAAGAGGGCCGAGUGCAUCAGCGCACAGAUAAUCUGAAGACACUGCCGUCCUGCGCGGAGAGAGCUCUGAAGUAUUUCUGGUCCUCCCUGCCUGAGAGAGAAGGAAGGAGAGAAGAGAGAUACCAUGAUACCAGAUACCAAAAGGCCACUUUGCGUCAACUCUGACACUGGAGAACAAAUCAUCACUUGGCAGUUAGAUAUGCCCAAUGCUGUACAGAAAUCCCCUUUCUUUCAAAUUAUGUAUAUAUACUGUUUACAUUUGCACAGCAUAAUGUCUGGAUGUGAAUUGAUGUGCCUGUGUGUGAGAUGUUG
rnacentral:lncRNA from 1 species